rnacentral:rRNA from 1 species
UACAGAGACUGCAAACGUUAUUCGGAAUCACUGGGCUUAAAGGGCGCGUAGGCGGGUCGGAUAGUCUGCGGUGAAAUACUUCAGCUUAACUGGAGAACUGCCGUGGAUACUGCCAAUCUCGAGGAGGGUAGGGGCAUCUGGAACAGCCGGUGGAGCGGUGAAAUGCGUUGAUAUCGGCUGGAACUCCGGUGGCGAAGGCGAGAUGCUGGACCCUUUCUGACGCUGAGGCGCGAAAGCCAGGGGAGCGAACGGG